UACAGAGGGGCAAGCGUUGUUCGGAAUUACUGGGCGUAAAGGGCGCGUAGGCGGCCCGCUAAGUCGAACGUGAAAUCCCCGAGCUCAACUCGGGAACUGCGUCCGAUACUGGCGGGCUUGAAUCCGGGAGAGGGAUGCGGAAUUCCAGGUGUAGCGGUGAAAUGCGUAGAUAUCGGGAGGAACACCUGUGGCGAAGGCGGUUCUCUGGGCCGAUACUGACGCUGAGGAGCGAAAGCGUGGGGAGCGAACAGG
rnacentral:rRNA from 1 species